UACAUGUGGGGCAAGCGUUGUUCGGAAUUACUGGGCGUAAAGGGCGCGUAGGCGGUUUGCUAAGUUGGAUGUGAAACUCUGGGCUUAACCCAGAGCCUGCAUCCAAAUUGGCAACUUGAGUACUGGAGGGGAAAGCGGAAUUCCUGGUGUAGCGGUGAAAUGCGUAGAUAUCAGGAGGAACACCGGUGGCGAAGGCGGCUUUCUGGACAGUAACUGACGCUGAGGCGCGAAAGCUAGGGGAGCAAACAGG
rnacentral:rRNA from 1 species